UACGUAGGGGGCAAGCGUUGUCCGGAAUCAUUGGGCGUAAAGAGCGUGUAGGCGGUCCGGUAAGUCGGCUGUGAAAGUCAAAGGCUCAACCUUUGAAUGUCAGUGGAUACUGCCGGGCUAGAGUCCGGAAGAGGCGAGUGGAACUCCUGGUGUAGCGGUGGAAUGCGCAGAUAUCAGGAAGAACACCAACGGCGAAGGCAGCUCGCUGGGACGGUACUGACGCUGAGACGCGAAAGCGUGGGGAGCGAACAGG
rnacentral:rRNA from 1 species